AUUGAACGCUGGCGGCAGGCCUAACACAUGCAAGUCGAGCGGCGCGGCGGACGAGUGGGUAAGGACUAGGAAUCUACCCGGUAGUGAGGGAUAACUUCCGGAAGGGGGAGCUAAUACCACAUACUAGCAGGUGAGCCUAGGUCGGAGUAGCUAGUUUGUGGUGCACAGGACUACCAAGGCGACGAUCAGUAACUGGUCUGAGAGGAUGAUCAGUCACACUGGAACUGAGACACGGUCCAGACUCCUACGGGAGGCAGCAGUGGGGAAUAUUGGACAAUGGGCGAAAGCCUGAUCCAGCAACGCCGCGUGAGUGAAGAAGGUCUUCGGAUCGUAAAGCUCUUUAAGUUGGGAGGCGUUACCUAACGAAUAAGCACCGGCUAACUACGUGCCAGCAGCCGCGGUAAUUC
rnacentral:rRNA from 1 species